UCGCUUCUAGCAGCUAAUGUACUAAAUUUGGAAAAAUAAGGAAAAUUAGCAUUGCCCAUGCACAAAAAUGACAUGUAAAUUUAUGAAGCAAUUUAAAAAAAGAUUUAU